GAUGGAGAACGUAGCGAAAUGCGAUAAGUAGUGUGAAUUGCAGAAUUCAGUGAAUCAUCGAAUCUUUGAACGCACAUUGCGCCCUUUGGUAUUCCUUAGGGCAUGCCUGUUCGAGCGUCAUUUAAACCUUCAAGCUAAGCUUGGUGUUGGGUGACUGUCCGCUUCACGGCGGACUCGCCUCAAAAUUAUUGGCGGCCGGUACAUUGGCUUCGAGCGCAGCAGAAACGCGAACUCGGGCCCGUCGUAUUGGCUCCCAGAAGCUAUCUUCACAAUUUUGACCUCGGAUCAGGUAGGGAUACCCGCUGAACUUAAGCAUAUCAAUAAGCGGAGGA
rnacentral:misc_RNA from 1 species